CUACUUUAGCUCUGAUUGCACUGCUGUAGUUAUUUGGGGCAUCUCUGAACUUGGCUUCUGACACAAAUCUUCCAUAGUGGAUCCUCCUUGAAAGUGCCUUCAAACAUGCAGACAGCUAAAUUAUUUCUUCUUUUCUGAAAAUGACAAGCAUUCAUUUGUGAUUGUGUUUGAUAAACAGCUAUUUACCUGUAAACACACAAGAUCUGCAGCUGCUGUGAGUGCAUAUCUGCCAUCAUCUCCUUUUGAAGUGAAUUGUGGAAGAAGUUGAUCAAAAUACAUUUUCCAUAUGGUGUCUCUAACAUUCACUGAUGCAGCAGCAGGAUAUAACACCUGUGAGUGCACUUCCGAGAAUUAGAAUCAUCACCAAAAUCUACAAGGAAUGAGCGGAGAGGAACUAGCUGCAACUAGCCAUGAUAGGAGGGACUAAUGGCGGCACCAGACUCUCUGGGAAGAAGGGAAUCUCCUCUGGGUUUUGAUAUCUUCCGGCCUAUAGAAAGUUGAAAAUAAUGCAAGUCAACCCUUUGAGAAAACGUGGGAGAUGGAAAUGGAAGUCUAACUUCUUACCCUGGCCUGCACUGCCUCCGACUCCCUGACAAAGAUGUCGACCAGGGAAUGGUUGUGGUAUGGGAAGGCUGCUCCGGCCAAGUAAGAAGGAUCAUAAACAGGAAAGUUGGAGGGGUAUUUGGCCCUCUCUAUGAGGCUGAACACAAUACUGUCUUCCUCCCUGGUCAAGAACUCUCUCACUGAUGCGAGACUGAACUGGUUGUCCUUCUCCUCGAGUUGUCUGCAGCUGCAGAUGGAAGCAAAGGCGAGGAAGGAGAAGGCAUAGAGGAGAGAGCGAGAAGCCAUGGACAUGAAGCUUGAUUGCCAGGUAGAGUUUCUGAACUCCCCUCGUUUAUAUAAAAACUUGAGUUGUUACAAGGGAAGAGAAUUUACACCUUCAUAUUUUUAGCACUACUUCCCAUGAAAUAGCUUUUUUUUGUUUGAGUCCUCCUUUUAAAUAUUGGUGUAAUGCAAUAAUGCAUAAAUAAUUUUCUUUUUUUAGAAUUUUAGAAUUAUUUUAUUCUA